rnacentral:rRNA from 1 species
GAUGAACCGCGUGGGCGGCAUGCCGUAAGACAUGCAAGUCGAACGGAGACGGGCCCAAAGUGAAGAUAGAGUGCUUGCACAAAGUUGGAUUUGGAUUCCCGUCUAGUGGCGCAAGGGUGAGUAACACGUGGGUAAUCUACCUUCGAGUCUGGAAUAACAGUUAGAAAUGAUUGCUAAUGCCGGAUGAUAUAUAGGAAGACACACUUCUUAUAUUAAAAAGGGGCCUCAAAGCCUCGCUUGAAGAUGAGCCUGCGCCGUAUUAGUUAGUUGGUGGGGUAAUGGCCUACCAAGACGACGAUGCGUAGCCGACCUGAGAGGGUGAUCGGCCACACUGGGACUGAGACACGGCCCAG